rnacentral:rRNA from 1 species
AGCAGUCGCCGCGGUAAUACGGAGGGUGCAAGCGUUAAUCGGAAUUACUGGGCGUAAAGCGCACGCAGGCGGCUUGUUAAGUCAGAUGUGAAAUCCCCGAGCUUAACUUGGGAACUGCAUUUGAAACUGGCAAGCUAGAGUCUUGUAGAGGGGGGUAGAAUUCCAGGUGUAGCGGUGAAAUGCGUAGAGAUCUGGAGGAAUACCGGUGGCGAAGGCGGCCCCCUGGACAAAGACUGACGCUCAGGUGCGAAAGCGUGGGGAGCAAACGGGAUUAGAUACCCCUGUAGUCCCUGUCUCUUAUAC